rnacentral:rRNA from 1 species
UACGUAGGUGACCAGCGUUGUCCGGAAUUACUGGGCGUAAAGGGCGCGUAGGCGGUCUCAUAAGUCCCGUGUGAAAGCCCCCGGCUCAACCGGGGAACGGCACGGGAAACUGCGAGGCUUGAGUUCGGGAGAGGGAAGCGGAAUUCCGGGUGUAGCGGUGAAACGCGUAGAUAUCCGGAGGAACACCAGUGGCGAGGGCGGCUUCCUGGACCGAUACUGACGCUGAGGCGCGAAAGCUAGGGGAGCAAACGGG